CCUACGGGUGGCUGCAGUGGGGAAUAUUGCACAAUGGGGGAAACCCUGAUGCAGCAAAGCCGCGUGAGCGAUGAGGGCCUUCGGGUCGUAAAGCUCUGUCCUAAGGGAAGAAUACUGACGGUACCUUAGGAGGAAGCCCCGGCUAACUACGUGCCAGCAGCCGCGGUAAUACGUAGGGGGCUAGCGUUAUCCGGAAUUACUGGGCGUAAAGGGUGCGUAGGCGGCCCUUCAAGUCAGAGGUGAAAGGCUACGGCUCAACCGUAGUAAGCCUUUGAAACUGUAGGGCUUGAGUGCAGGAGAGGAGAGUGGCAUGCCCAGUGUAGCGGUGUUCUUCGUAGAUAUUUCGUGGAACACCAGUUGCGUAGGCGGCUCUCUGGACUGUUCCUGAGCCUGAGGCACGAAAGCGUGGGGAGCGAACAGGAUUAGAUACCCGGGUAGUC
rnacentral:rRNA from 1 species